rnacentral:rRNA from 1 species
UACGAAGGGGGCUAGCGUUGCUCGGAAUCACUGGGCGUAAAGCGCACGUAGGCGGACUCUUAAGUCGGUGGUGAAAUCCUGGAGCUCAACUCCAGAACUGCCUUCGAUACUGAGAGUCUCGAGUCCGGGAGAGGUGAGUGGAACUGCGAGUGUAGAGGUGAAAUUCGUAGAUAUUCGCAAGAACACCAGUGGCGAAGGCGGCUCACUGGCCCGGUACUGACGCUGAGGUGCGAAAGCGUGGGGAGCGAACAGG